rfam:Nelumbo nucifera unplaced genomic scaffold scaffold00187, whole genome shotgun sequence
GGUUAUGGGGUGGAGCUCCUUCAAGUCCAAUAUUGGUUCUUUCUGGUUAGAUAGAGCUGCUGAAUUAUGGAUUCCACAGCCCUAUAUCAUGCUUGGAGGGAUUUGGAUAGGUUUGUGGUUUGCAUAUUUCAGGAGCUGCAUUAUCCAGAUGAGAACCUUGUUUGGAUUGAAGGGAGCUCUACAUCAUCAUCUC